GAUUCAGAUACGAGAAUCUCCACGUACUGUUAUAAAUUACUGGAAAGAUCCAAUCCCUCCUUUGUCUAUUUUAUAGGUAGUUAUAACAGCAGAAAAUAAUUACAGUAUCGUCUGAUGUCCUGCCUUCAGAGAUGUCUUCUGAACUAAACAAAGUAGAAAUAAAUCACAGUAAACAGCUGCAUAAAACAUGUGCAUCUGAGUGUUAUUACUUUGUUUCCCCAUCUUUGUAGUUUUUAUCCUCCAGUUGAUGAGCCCGCUAUUGGUACAGAAAAAUUGGAUCUGUCUAUGCGUCAAGAAAGAAAUACGAUCUUCGGAGGCAAAACCUUUCUGUUCCUAAGUGCUAAACAGCAUAAGAAACUGAGG